rnacentral:lncRNA from 1 species
UCUAAGCGACGGUUAUCAUAACCUGCCAACUGGUGUCCGAGUUAUCUUAAAAACAACUCAGACUAUAUUGUAUUGCUGUUGGGACCCUAUUAUUUCUCUACUAGGCAUCCAAAUGAACUAUUUAGUUGAGUUGUGCCGCUCCUGUAUACACAGUUUUUGUAAGAGAGUUUCUACAGUUUGAGAAAACACAUGGUGCAAAUCAUCAUAUACAACUACAAUCACAGAACCACAAACUCCUACCUUCUACUCCUACCUUCGACUGUUAUGUAGCAAAUGAAUCGAAAACUGACAUAAAUGUAUCAAUUCGACAUAAAAAGAUGGGAAAAGACUGUAAAACUGGGAGAGGGAGAGUGAAGGGAACUGACUAUACACCACCUAAGCACCAUUUAUCCAGAAACGAUAGCACAACAUUUUGCCAUGUAGCUGAUACAUGAAUGCACUGCCUUGUUCUAAAAAAGAUAAAAAAUAGGCCCGAAUACAUGGAAUAAGUAACUCAAUUCAUGGAUAUGUUCUUGCUUGGUCAUUUUUCACCUAAUGUUCACCAGAAAGAGUUCGUGCACAAUAAACAGCUCGUUAGCUUUAUAGGAGGACAACUAACCUCGCACUACCAAAUACAACUGAAAAUGUUCAAAACCAUGGCAUUCAUGAUGUAAACAUGGAAGUAACAUAAAACUCCUAUUCUUAUAUAUGCUAAACUUUUGAAGAGAUGUAAAUUUUGGAUAAAACCACGAAGAAUUAAUUUUUUACACAAAAAUCAAGCUUCUUAGAACUCUAAGCAGCAGAGAUGCUGAAAAGUGUAGUUUGUCAAGCUGACAAAGGGAGAGACAUUGUGCUUGCAUUGAGAUGGAAUAUUGUCGAUGCCUGUAAUACAUUUUUAAUGUGGUAUAUAUGGAUUGGAACAAUGAUUUGAACAUACCAACAUACUGCAUAUAACAUAGAUAUAUGUACCAGCAUACUGCAUAUAAUAUAGAUAUACGUACAUAUAUGGCUCUGUCUAGAAACUGGAACAAAAUAACACCACGUCCAAUCAUGAACUUCUGAUGGUUCUGAUAUUGAUUCUGCACUAACUCCUCCUGCCAAAGAACCAAGUCAGUACAUAAAUAUCAGAAUAUUUCCAUGAGUGAUUCAUGUACCUUAACGGUAAAUAAAAAUCGUUGGAGCUAGAGGACAGGAGGCAGGGCCGCAGGGCUAAGGGGGUGUUGGACUUGCUGACAUCCUGUACGCCACUGGAUGGGUGGAGAAGGGGGGUUCAGCUGCAGGGCGUGCUGAUGCUGUACUGGCGCUCCUCCUUAGAGGUCGACCAGGAGGAGCACCGGUGUUUGUCAGCAUCGUCGUCGAGCAGGACAAGGCUCGCUGUGCCCGCCCUCGUCCCGGACCGGCAACUGCAGGGUGCGCUGUGUCUAUGGAACCUGCGGGAGGAGAUCCUCCGCGCCGACCUGCUCGAGGUGGACCGACAACUGCGGGCACCGUAGACGACGAAUAAGAGCUGCCAGAGCCCGCCAGAGAUGCGCCGACGAUGAAGGGUGUGCCGGAGUAGAGAACCCUAGCACGGGACUGGAUUUUCGGUGAGCGGUAGAAGCCGGGAGGGGGAAAUCUUGCGGAGGGGAGGAUGGACCUGAGCGAGGCGAGCUCAGUGGGGUGCUCCGCGCCGGCGAUAGCCGCUGCAAUCGCCAAAAUCGGACGCGGGCAGCUGUGGCGGCGGAGGGAACAGAGGAGAGAAAGAGGAUUAGGGUUAGAUGGGUGUGGAUUGUGGGCUUAAGUAGUCUGGGUCAAAAAAAUUGCCACCGGCCCGUGUGGGCGACUUAAAAUUUU